GGACGAACGCUGGCGGCGUGCCUAACACAUGCAAGUCGAGCGAGGAGAUCCUCGGGAUGAUCCUAGCGGCGACGGGUGAGUAACACGUGGGCAACCUGCCUCAUAGAGAGGAAUAGCCUUCCGAAAGGGAGAUUAAUACCUCAUAACAUUGCAGUUUCGCAUGGAACAGCAAUUAAAGGAGUAAUCCGCUAUGAGAUGGGCCCGCGGCGCAUUAGCUAGUUGGUGAGGUAACGGCUCACCAAGGCGACGAUGCGUAGCCGACCUGAGAGGGUGAUCGGCCACAUUGGGACUGAGACACGGCCCAGACUCCUACGGGAGGCAGCAGUGGGGAAUAUUGCACAAUGGGGGAAACCCUGAUGCCAGCAACGCCGCGUGAGUGAUGACGGCCUUCGGGUUGUAAAGCUCUGUCUUCAGGGACGAUAAUGACGGUACCUGAGGAGGAAGCCACGGCUAACUACGUGCCAGCCGCCGC
rnacentral:rRNA from 1 species